rnacentral:rRNA from 1 species
CAGCGCCACGAGUGGCAAUCGCGAUUAUUUGGCCUAAAGCGUCCGUAGCCGGUUUGACAAAUCUUCUGUGAAACUGUGCAGCUCAACUGUACAACGUGCAGAAGACACUAUCAAGCUUGGAACCGGGAGGGGUACAGAGUAUUCCAGGGGAAGCGGUAAAAUGCUAUAAUCCCUGGAGGACUACCUAUGGCGAAGGCACUGUACCAGAACGGAUUCGACGGUGAGGGACGAAAGCCAGGGGAGCGAUCCGGAUUAGAUACCCGAGUAGUCC